UUUAAUGAUAGACAGAACCCUUAAGCCAGACUGGAUCUGAUGGCUCUUGGGACAUGCUUGAGAAAAUAACAGCUUAUUACUGCUCACUCUCCAAGAAAGAACAGGAAAUUAGAGCUCUGAAAUGGAAGUGAUUUAAAAAUAAUAGUAGAAAUGUAAUGUAGCGUAGCAACAAAGGUCAUAUUUCAUGAUUUUCCCCACUGUGUAACUCCGAAGCAGUGCACAGGUUGAAGUAAGUGACAGUUCAGCUAAAAACAACAGAGCAGCUAAAUUACUCCUAGUACCACUGCCUUUUGUAUGCUAAAAUCAGUACAUCAAAUUCAGACACACGGCCCACACAGAUGGCGUGAGUGACUAACACCUGCCUGCCCUGUGCACAGCCUACACACUGAUGUCAUGAGAGGAGGCCAAUACCUCCGAGGAUUUUUAAAGGAGUGACCGUGCAAGAAGACUUUCUCAGGCACUUAAUAAUAUGCGUAUAUACUUAAAAGAGAGAAACUUUGCCUCAUAAACUGCACUUGCAAAAGUAGGAAAGAGGCAAAGAUUUGGAAUAAUAUAGUGCAAGGACACAAGCUGCCCUGACACACAGCUUCUGUUGCAGAGGAAGAACAGGAGGAAAUGAGGAG